rnacentral:rRNA from 1 species
GACGAACGCUGGCGGCGUGCUUAACACAUGCAAGUCGAACGGUGAAGCGCCUUCCUUUUUGGUGGGUGUGGAUGAGUGGCGAACGGGUGAGUAACACGUGAGUAACCUGCCCCCUUCUUCUGGAUAACCGCAUGAAAGUGUGGCUAAUACGGGAUAUUCUGGGUCUGUCGCAUGAUGGGUCUGGGAAAGAUAUUGUUUCGGUGGGGGAUGGGCUCGCGGCCUAUCAGCUUGUUGGUGGGGUGAUGGCCUACCAAGGCGGUGACGGGUAGCCGGCCUGAGAGGGUGGACGGUCACACUGGGACUGAGACACGGCGCAGACUCCUACGGGAGGCAGCAGUGGGGAAUAUUGCACAAUGGGCGCAAGCCUGAUGCAGCGACGCCGCGUGAGGGAUGGAGGCCUUCGGGUUGUGAACCUCUUUCGCCAGUGAAGCAGGCCUGCCUCGUUUGUGGGUGGGUUGACGGUAGCUGGAUAAGAAGCGCCGGCUAACUACGUG